CCGGGAUGCCUGAUGAUGGUAGGAGGUACAGCGUGGAACAUGAACAAUCAGGGUCUGGUGCAGGGUAAGCUCGCACUCCCUGGCGUUGAGCACCAGGGUUUGUGUGGCCACAUACCAAGGCCCUGAUGCAGCUUCUGAGGAUCCUAAGAGCUAGAUAUUAUGCAGAUAUGUAUCAAGUACUAGAAACAAGGUAAGACUAGAACAGGCACCAAACAAGAUAACAAGACAAGACUUAAAAAAAAAACAGAACCAGAACAGGACAGAAAGUAGAACCCAGAACAUGUACAAAAGACAUGAGGGAAACAAGAACAGGACCUGGACAGGGCAGAACAGGACUGUACAUGAAUU